UCGCCUCUUGCCCUAUCGUAUAAGAGGUCCUGCCUGCCCUGUGACGAAAGUUUAACGGCCGCGGUAUUUUGACCGUGCGAAGGUAGCGUAAUCACUUGUCUUUUAAAUAAAGACCUGUAUGAAUGGCAUAACGAGGGCUAAGCUGUCUCCUUUUUCCAGUCAAUGAAAUUGAUCUGCCCGUGCAGAAGCGGGCAUAGAUACAUAAGACGAGAAGACCCUAUGGAGCUUUAGACACCAGGACACAUCACGUUAAAGACCCUGCCCCGCCAGGAUUAAACCAAAUGAAAACUGUCCCCCUGUCUUUGGUUGGGGCGACCACGGAGAAACAAGCAACCCCCGUGCGGAAAGGGCUUACCCCCCGAAACUAGAGCCACAGCUCUAAUUAGCAGAACAUCUGACCACAAGAUCCGGCACCGCCGAUCAACGGACCCAGUUACCCUAGGGAUAACAGCGCAAUCCCCUUUUAGAGCCCAUAUCGACAAGGGGGUUUACGACCUCGAUGUUGGAUCAGGACUUCCUAAUGGUGCAGCCGCUAUUAAGGGUUCGUUUGUUCAACGAUUAAAGUCCUACG
rnacentral:rRNA from 1 species